UGUGUAAUGAUAUGCAUUUUUUAAGUUACAUGUUCAAAAUUGUACUUAGAAAUAAGAUCGUCAUUUGUACUUCUCUGAAGAAGAAUCAAUACUGUUUUUUAUAUUUUAGUUGCCAGAUUGGGCAAACCAAGAAAUGGCAAGAAACUACUUUUUAGACUUCCAUCAUCUCAGCCUUUAUGUAAAGUACUAUAUCUUGAAUGCAAUUGGUGCUCACAAGCGUGCAUGCGAUGAAGGAAUGAACUACUGAAUCAGUGAAUUGCUGUUAGAAAAGCAUUUGUUCUGGAUAUACUUCUUGCUUUCCACUCUUGGCUGCUUUGGACGCUGAGAAGUUGACCUGUAUGAGGGGCAGCAUAAGAAAUAAGAAGCCCUGAUUUCUAGAUUUUCAUGGAGAAAAAUUUGUCUUGGUGAUAAGGCAUCUUGGUUGACAUUGGCAUAUGCGAUGAGUAAAAGGCAAUGACCAUUUUCAGUGUAGAAACUCUCAAGAGAAUAUUUCAUCCAAUAUAUAAAUUACUUUCCCAGAAGUGCUGUUACUUACAAGUUGCUGACUACUAUUGCACUGCAAGACAAGACCAUUCAAGCUUCACCAAAGGCAGCUUCGUCCCGUGCUUUUUUGCCGGGCAGGACACCUGCAAAAGAUGAUGCACGCGGGUUGUUUUGGAGCACCGCAGUGUGAUAAGAAAUGGAAUGACUGCAAGCCAGAGAGAUAAUCAGCACAGCGCACAUACCUGCUUGAGGAGGAGACCCUUUCACCUGAGGAAGUGUCACAGGACUGGGUUCCCUAGAACAUACGUCAGGGAUUUGGUUCGUGUUUGUAAGGAGCCUAAAUUAACUGAAGAAAGUAAAUAUCCACUAAGACCCUCAAGAAAGGGAAACUUUACGGCUAAGAACACAUUACACCGGUUGUAUUAGUUUGCCUGUAUGGUGCCCAGUGAACCACAAAAGGCACGUAGACAUUUCAUACAUGC